rnacentral:rRNA from 1 species
GAUGGACGCUGGCGGCGUGCCUAAUACAUGCAAGUCGAGCGAACGGACGAGAAGCUUGCUUCUCUGAUGUUAGCGGCGGACGGGUGAGUAACACGUGGAUAACCUACCUAUAAGACUGGGAUAACUUCGGGAAACCGGAGCUAAUACCGGAUAAUAUUUUGAACCGCAUGGUUCAAAAGUGAAAGACGGUCUUGCUGUCACUUAUAGAUGGAUCCGCGCUGCAUUAGCUAGUUGGUAAGGUAACGGCUUACCAAGGCAACGAUGCAUAGCCGACCUGAGAGGGUGAUCGGCCACACUGGAACUGAGACACGGUCCAGACUCCUACGGGAGGCAGCAGUAGGGAAUCUUCCGCAAUGGGCGAAAGCCUGACGGAGCAACGCCGCGUGAGUGAUGAAGGUCUUCGGAUCGUAAAACUCUGUUAUUAGGGAAGAACAUAUGUGUAAGUAACUGUGCACAUCUUGGCGGUACCUAAUCAGAAAGCCACGGCUAACUACGUG